AGCAUUAGAAAAAUCAGUAAGAAACAUGUCAAAAGUAACAAUAAUCAGCAUGUACCAACUAAUAAUAAGAAAAAUCAAUCAUGCCUACCAAGAUAAAAAAAUGCAUACCCUCCAAUAUACAUAGGGUGAAACCGAGAUUGAGGUUCCUAUUGAGAUGUCCCCCUACAUUGUUGAACGCCAUAAGGAAAAGCCUUCUCUUCCUCUCAACCACACAUUCGCUAACCUAUUUAGGCUUAUAGGGCCUGCCGC
rnacentral:lncRNA from 1 species